AGUGAACGCUGGCGGUAGGCCUAACACGUGCAAGUCGAACGGCAGCACAGUAAGAGCUUGCUCUUACGGGUGGCGAGUGGCGGACGGGUGAGGAAUACAUCGGAAUCUACUUUUUCGUGGGGGAUAACGUAGGGAAACUUACGCUAAUACCGCAUACGACCUACGGGUGAAAGCAGGGGAUCUUCGGACCUUGCGCGAUUGAAUGAGCCGAUGUCGGAUUAGCUAGUUGGCGGGGUAAAGGCCCACCAAGGCGACGAUCCGUAGCUGGUCUGAGAGGAUGAUCGGCGACACUGGAGCUGAGACACGGUCCAGACUCCUACGGGAGGCAGCAGUGGGGAAUAUUGGACAAUGGGCGCAAGCCUGAUCCAGCCAUACCGCGUGGGUGAAGAAGGCCUUCGGGUUGUAAAGCCCUUUUGUUGGGAAAGAAGAGCAGCAGGUUAAUACCCCGCUGUUCUGACGGUACCCAAAGAAUAAGCACCGGCUAACUUCGUG
rnacentral:rRNA from 1 species